rnacentral:rRNA from 1 species
UACGUAGGGUGCAAGCGUUAAUCGGAAUUACUGGGCGUAAAGCGUGCGCAGGCGGUUUUGUAAGUCUGUCGUGAAAUCCCCGGGCUCAACCUGGGAAUGGCGAUGGAGACUGCAAGGCUAGAGUUUGGCAGAGGGGGGUAGAAUUCCACGUGUAGCAGUGAAAUGCGUAGAUAUCGGGAGGAACACCUGAGGCGAAGGCGGGCUACUGGGCCGAUACUGACGCUGAUGCGCGAAAGCCAGGGGAGCAAACGGG